AACGUAGGAGGCGAGCGUUAUCCGGAUUUACUGGGCGUAAAGCGCACGCAGGUGGCACGGCAAGUUGGUUGUGAAAGCUCCUGGCUUAACUGGGAGAGGCCAAGCAAAACUGCCGCGCUUGAGGUUGGAAGAGGGGUGCGGAAUUCCCGGUGUAGCGGUGGAAUGCGUAGAUAUCGGGAGGAACACCAGUGGCGAAGGCGGCACCCUGGUCCACACCUGACGCUGAGGUGCGAAAGCGUGGGGAGUAAAC
rnacentral:rRNA from 1 species